GACGAACGCUGGCGGCGUGCUUAACACAUGCAAGUCGAACGGAAAGGCCUCUUUCGGGGGGUACUCGAGUGGCGAACGGGUGAGUAACACGUGAGUAACCUGCCCUUGACUUUGGGAUAACUUCAGGAAACUGGGGCUAAUACCGGAUAGGAGCUCCUGCUGCAUGGGGGGGGUUGGAAAGUUUCGGCGGUUGGGGGUGGACUCGCGGCGUAUUCGCUUGUUGGUGGGGGAGUGGCUUACCAAGGCCUUGACGGGUAGCCGGCCUGGGAGGGUGACCGGCCACAUUGGGGCUGGGGAUCGGCCCCGACUCCUACGGGGGGCAGCAGGGGGGAAAAUUGCCCAAUGGGGGGGAGCCUGAUGCAGCAACGCCGGGUGCGGGAUUACGGCCUUCGGGUUGUAAACCGCUUUCGCUCAUGACGAAGCUUUGUGUGACGGUAGUGGGUAAAGAAGCACCGGCUAACUACGUG
rnacentral:rRNA from 1 species